rnacentral:misc_RNA from 1 species
GUUUAGCUUAAAUUUAUAAAGACACAUAUAAUGCGCAGCUCAAAUGUUCAUAAACGGAAGAACUUCCAUUUUCAUGUUGAAGCAUUACACGCGUCUUUCUGACAUAUCACAUAACACAAUCUUUGCAGGCUCUUCUAAAUCUGAGAUUCCUUCCGAGGACAGAUUUCCAAAUAGUUCAUGUUGUAGGCUGUAAGCAUUUUAUUAUUGCUUCAGCAUUUCUU